rnacentral:rRNA from 1 species
UACGUAGGGUGCGAGCGUUAAUCGGAAUUACUGGGCGUAAAGCGUGCGCAGGCGGUUUUGUAAGACAGACGUGAAAUCCCCGGGCUUAACCUGGGAACUGCGUUUGUGACUGCAAGGCUAGAGUAUGGCAGAGGGGGGUAGAAUUCCACGUGUAGCAGUGAAAUGCGUAGAUAUGUGGAGGAAUACCGAUGGCGAAGGCAGCCCCCUGGGUCAAUACUGACGCUCAUGCACGAAAGCGUGGGGAGCAAACAGGAUUAGAUACCCUGGUAGUCCACGCCCUAAACGAUGUCAACUAGGUGUUGGAGGAGGAGACUUCUUUAGUACCGCAGCUAACGCGUGAAGUUGACCGCCUGGGGAGUACGGCCGCAAGGUUGAA